rnacentral:lncRNA from 1 species
AAGGCAAGAGAGUGACUUAGUGGUCUUAACCAUACACAAAGGAUAAGAUUUCAUCAUCCACGCAUUCUAGCGAGCUUGCUUAUCUCUUGCUGCAUUGGUUUGUCUCUUUUCGAGUUUCUACAACACCAUUAACGCUGGCUACUAAUGAUGUACGUCUUCCUCAUUCUAAGAUUCAAUAUUUGCAUCAAUAUUUGUAAUGCUCAGUUCUUGAUUUAUUCUUCAAAUUUAUUUCUUGAGCAAUAUAUAAGCCUAUUUAUGCUUAAGGUUUAUAAUUGUGUUCGAUUUCUUUGUUUGGUUGCGCUUGGUUAAGGUGCUAAUUAUUGUUGUGUUGCAAUGUUUUAUAUUUAUAUAUAUAUAUAUGUGUGUGUGUGUGUGUGUGUUUUUUUUUUCCCAUUCUGGGUAACACAUGGAUAAUGAGAGAAAUUUUAUUUAUUCAGAAGAAAAGAUAGGGGAAGUGAGAACAGAAAAUACUAACUCGUGAAUUCCAACAAUCAAAAACAUUAGCAACUAAAUGAAAUUAAGAACUCAAAACUACAAAUGAAGAAUGUGGUAACUAAUAAGCCUAGCCGGUGCCACCAAGGAUAGCCUUGAGCCUCUUCACCGUAGCAUCGUCAAGGAAAGUGGUCUGCUCCACCAAUUGGGAAGACAAGUUGUUAGCAAAUAAGGCGAAAUCGG